AAAACUAUAUUUUCAGGGACCAUUUCUAUAGUCUCUUACUAGAGAAGUUUCUCUAACUGUGUAGAGUAGCAGAAUCCACAAGGAGGAGGGGUAGCAUUCUCUCCUGAGUGUAUUUCUUUGCUGCAAUUGCCAUUUGCCAUUGAUGAUUGUUCACUCUUUCGGGAGAGUAGAAUGAGAAGAUGCAGUCUAAGUGUU
rnacentral:snoRNA from 1 species